AAGUCGUAACAAGGUCUCCGUUGGUGAACCAGCGGAGGGAUCAUUACCGAGUUAUCCAAAAACUCCCAACCCUAUGUGAACUUACCACUGUUGCCUCGGCGAGCUGCGCUACCCUGUAGCUACUUUUGUAGCGACCUGGGAGCGCGUUAUAGGCUCGCCAGAGGACCACUAAACUCUGUUUUAUUUUGUAUCUCUGAAUCUUACAACUGAAAUCAGUUAAAACUUUCAACAACGGAUCUCUUGGUUCUG
rnacentral:misc_RNA from 1 species